CCUACGGGAGGCAGCAGUGAGGAAUAUUGGUCAAUGGGCGGGAGCCUGAACCAGCCAAGCCGCGUGAGGGAAGAAGGUACAGCGUAUCGUAAACCUCUUUUGUCAGGGAACAAAGGCGGGGACUAGUCCCCGGAUGAGGGUACCUGAAGAAAAAGCAUCGGCUAAAUCCGUGCCAGCAGCCGCGGUAAUACGGAGGAUGCGAGCGUUAUCCGGAUUUAUUGGGUUUAAAGGGUGCGCAGGCGGCAUGUUAAGUCAGCGGUAAAAGCCCGGGGCUAAACCCCGGCGAGCCGUUGAAACUGGCGGGCUUGAGUGGGAGAGAGGUACGCGGAAUGCGCGGUGUAGCGGUGAAAUGCUUAGAUAUCGCGCAGAACCCCGAUUGCGAAGGCAGCGUACCGGCUCCACACUGACGCUGAGGCACGAAAGCGUGGGUAUCGAACAGGAUUAGAUACCCCAGUAGUC
rnacentral:rRNA from 1 species